CCUACGGGUGGCAGCAGUGGGGAAUAUUGCUCAAUGGGGGAAACCCUGAUGCAGCGACGCCGCGUGGGUGAGGAAGUCCUUCGGUAUGUUAAGCCCUAUCAGCAGGGAAGAAAUUGACGGUACCUGACUAAUAAGCCCCGGCGAAUUCCGUGCCAGCAGCCGCGGUAAUACGGGGGGGGCCAGCGUUAUCCGGAUUUUCUGGGGGUAAAGGGAGCGUAGGCGGCGUGCCAAGUCUGGUGUGAAAGGCCUGGGUUCAAACCCGGCACUGCAAUGGAAACUGGCCUGCUGGAGUGCCGGAGGGGCAGGCGGAAUACGUAGAGUAGCGGUGAAAUGCAUAGAUAUUAGGUGGAACACCGGUAGCGAAGGCAGCUUGCUGGACGGAGACUGACGUUGAGGCUCGAGAGCGUGGGGAGCAAACAGGAUUAGAUACCCUAGUAGUC
rnacentral:rRNA from 1 species